rnacentral:rRNA from 2 species
GAACUGAAGAGUUUGAUCAUGGCUCAGAUUGAACGCUGGCGGCAGGCCUAACACNUGCAAGUCGAGCGGAUGAGUGGAGCUUGCUCCAUGAUUCAGCGGCGGACGGGUGAGUAAUGCCUAGGAAUCUGCCUGGUAGUGGGGGACAACGUUUCGAAAGGAACGCUAAUACCGCAUACGUCCUACGGGAGAAAGCGGGGGAUCUUCGGACCUCACGCUAUCAGAUGAGCCUAGGUCGGAUUAGCUAGUUGGUGAGGUAAAGGCUCACCAAGGCGACGAUCCGUAACUGGUCUGAGAGGAUGAUCAGUCACACUGGAACUGAGACACGGUCCAGACUCCUACGGGAGGCAGCA